rnacentral:misc_RNA from 1 species
GAUGCUAAAAUAUUUCAACACUCGCUCAAAAACCCAACGCGAUCUUACGUCAUUUGAGCUAAAAAAACAAUUUACAAUAACCUCCCAACAAUUGCAAACAAUUUUCAGCUUUUUGCAGAUAUCACACACACCCCAGCACACACACACACAGAUAUUAAAGUUCAACGGCAUUACAAACAAAUUAAUUAAUUUGUUUAUUUGGCACAUUAAUUGCUCGCAUACGAGUCGCGUGUGAAUAGAUAUUUGAUAAAAAAAAAUAUAAAAAAAUAACUGUAAGAAAGACUAUACCUAUAUAGACAUAUAGCUAAGUAAUCCACCCAGAUCGGCGACAAAAUGAACGACCGUGAAUUUGGCGCGGGCGGCCAGUUUAUGGAUCGCGGACGGAUGAAUCAGAAUGGCGUUGUCCAGCCAUUGCUAACCGAUUUAUAUCAAAUAACAAUGGCAUAUGCAUAUUGGAAAUCGGACAAGACCGAUGACACAGCGGUAUUCGAUCUAUUCUUUCGCAACAAUCCAUUCCACGGUGAAUUCACAAUUUUUGCCGGCCUCGAGGAGUGCCUCAAAUUCCUGGAUAGCUUCCAUUAUUCCCAAAGCGAUAUUGAAUAUCUAAAACAAACGCUGCCCGAAGGCAUUGAAAAUGAGUUUUUCGAGUACCUGGGUAAUCUGACGGCGCGGGAUGUCACCUUGUUUGCCAUUGAUGAGGGCACAGUAGCUUUUCCACGAGUUCCCAUUAUUAAAAUUGAGGGCCCACUGAUCAUAGUCCAGUUGCUGGAGACGACUCUUCUCACCUUGGUUAACUAUGCCAGCUUAAUGGCAACGAAUGCAGCCAGAUAUCGCAUGGUUGCUGGAAAACAUGUCAAACUAUUGGAAUUUGGACUGCGUCGAGCCCAGGGCCCAGACGGUGGCCUAUCCGCAUCGAAGUAUUCGUACACAGGUGGUUUUGAUGGCACCUCCAAUGUCCUGGCUGGCAAGCUCUUCAAUAUCCCUGUCAAGGGCACCCAUGCCCAUGCCUAUAUCACCAGUUUCAGCAGCGUGGGAGAACUCAAGACCCGUCUCAUCAAGCACAAGCAAACUGGAAUCAUGGAGGAUCUAUUGGAGAGAGCUAUCCAUCAUCGGCAAAUGCUAUCGCACGUCCUGGAUGUGUCCACCGAGGAGUCGAGUGAGGGCGAAUUGGCGGCCAUGGUGUCCUAUGCCAUUGCCUUCCCUGACGGAUUCAUGGCACUUGUCGAUACGUACGAUGUUAAGAGCCGAGAGACAGAACAAGCCCGCACAGAAACCAAUCUAAUCAAUGAUAUCAAGUCUGAGAAUAGUCCGCCAAAAAUAAAGCCAAACGUAAAUGGCCUUAAGAAUGGUCAGAGAAAGAACGGUCAAGUGAAUGAGCACAAGGCCAAUGGGCAACAGAAUGGUGUAUCUCAAAACGGCACUAAAGAUAUGCCAAAAGAUAUAGAUCUAAAAGAUACAAAAUCGAGAACAACGACAGCAACAGCCACUGAGACCACAACUACCACAGCCACGUCCAAUGGGACGGCAUACCUUCCAAAAUAUGUCGAGAAGUCAUUCAGAUAUCCAUAAAAUGAAUCCGAAAGAAAGAAUUUACGAACCUAACAUAGUAAAAAUAAAAUGACUUCCGGCACUAUUUUGGCAGAGGAGUGGCUUGCUGAAUUUCAGUGCCGUGGCCUUGGCUCUCAAUGAUUUGGGAUAUCAUGCCUUGG